rnacentral:piRNA from 1 species
UGGAUUAAGUGUCUUUAGGUACCCUGUC